UACGGAGGGUGCGAGCGUUGUCCGGAUUUAUUGGGUUUAAAGGAUGCGUAGGUGGCUUGUUAAGUCAGUGGUGAAAUACAGCCGCUCAACGGUUGAGGUGCCAUUGAUACUGACAAGCUUGAAACAAGUGGAGGUUGCCGGAAUGGAUGGUGUAGCGGUGAAAUGCAUAGAUAUCAUCCAGAACACCGAUUGCGAAGGCAGGUGACUACGUUUGAUUUGACACUGAGGCACGAAAGCAUGGGGAGCAAACAGG
rnacentral:rRNA from 1 species